UACGAAGGGGGCUAGCGUUGCUCGGAAUUACUGGGCGUAAAGGGCGCGUAGGCGGACAUUUAAGUCAGGGGUGAAAUCCCAGAGCUCAACUCUGGAACUGCCUUUGAUACUGGGUGUCUUGAGUGUGAGAGAGGUAUGUGGAACUCCGAGUGUAGAGGUGAAAUUCGUAGAUAUUCGCAAGAACACCAGUGGCGAAGGCGGCUCACUGGCCCAUUACUGACGCUGAGGCACGAAAGCGUGGGGAGCAAACAGG
rnacentral:rRNA from 1 species